rnacentral:sRNA from 1 species
UGCGGCUGGAUCACCUCCUUUCUAAGGAUGAUCCUUCAGCGAGCUUCGGCUCACUAUCGGAUCGUUUUAGAAACAUCAGUGGCCAACAGAUCGCCAGAUCGUUGAGCUGCAUUGGCGGGAUUUCGCCGUCUUCGUUUCUCUUUCUUCGAGGACGAACACGCGCUGGCCUGCAACGACAGGAUCCAGGGUCCUUAACGGGAUAUGCGUUAGGGGCUUGUAGCUCAGUUGGUUAGAGCGCGCGCUUGAUAAGCGUGAGGUCGGAAGUUCAAGUCUUCCCAGGCCCACCACUUACAUCGAGUGAGCAUUCGUCUUCUGGUUACGGGGCCAUAGCUCAGCUGGGAGAGCGCGUGCUUUGCAAGCAUGAGGUCGUCGGUUCGAUCCCGUCUGGCUCCACCAGAUGGUUUGAUCACCGAGGUCAUGCACCGUCGUCCGCGAAACAUCACUUCGCAUCUUGCUAGUCUGGAUAGACAGUAAGUUGCGUGUUUUCUGACAUCGUAAAGAGGAGAUCGAUCCGAGUUGGGUCGUGCGGCAAAUUGCUGCGCGGGCCAUCAUUAUCUCCUGAUCAUUUUCGGCGCUCGCGUCCGGCCGCAAGGUUGGCCGCGAGUUGUAAAAUGAUCCUUUUAGCGAAGCUUGACCGCCUCGCUAUCGGAACGAUCUUACGAAGCAAGCUGGUCUUUCUAGUCAAUGUCCGGCUACAGAUGGCGUUCAUCGAGGGCGCGUGCCGCAAGGCAAUUCUGUAGACAACAUUCUGCCGAGUGUGUGGACAUUGAUAAUGAGAGCAAUCAAGUGCCUUAAGGGUGUUCGGUGGAUGCCUUGGCGCUGAGAGGCGAUGAAGGACGUGCUACGCUGCGAUAAGCCGUGGGGAGCUGCGAAGAAGCUUUGAUCCGCGGAUUUCCGAAUGGGGAAACCCACCUUCGAUAGCCGGAACUCCAAGACCUUGUGUCUUGGUGUUCGACCAGAAAUGAUCGGGACCAUGACCCCAAAAGGUUUUGGAUUUCCGGUUAUCAAGAGAAGGUAUGAGACUUCUGAAUACAUAGGAGGUUUCAAGCAAACCCAGGGAACUGAAACAUCUAAGUACCUGGAGGAAAGGACAUCAACAGAGACUCCGUUAGUAGUGGCGAGCGAACGCGGACCAGGCCAGUGAUACAUCAAAGCCAAUCGGAACCAGUCAGGAAAGCUGGGCCUCAGAGGGUGAUAGCCCCGUACGAGUAAUGCGAUGAUGUAUCCACGAGUAAGGCGGGACACGUGCAAUCCUGUCUGAACACGGGGGGACCACCCUCCAAGCCUAAGUACUCCUCAGCGACCGAUAGCGAACCAGUACCGUGAGGGAAAGGUGAAAAGCACCCCGACGAGGGGAGUGAAAUAGACCUGAAACCGGACACCUACAAACAGAUGGAGCCCAAGAUUCGUUCUAGGUGACAUCGUACCUUUUGUAUUAUGGGCCAGCGACUUAAUUUAACGAGCAAGCUUAAGCCGAUAGGCGAAGGCGUAGCGAAAGCGAGUCUGAAUAGGGCGCCAAGUUCGUUGUAUUAGACCCGAAACCUAGUGAUCUAGCCAUGAGCAGGUUGAAGGUGAGGUAACACUCACUGGAGGACCGAACGGGUGCCUGUUGAAAAAGGCUCCGAUGACUUGUGGUUAGGGGUGAAAGGCCAAUCAAACUGGGAAAUAGCUGGUUCUCCGCGAAAGAUAUUUAGGUAUCGCCUCGCACGAAUGCUUCGGGGGGUAGAGCACUGGAUGGGCUAGGGGGACUUACCGUCUUACCAAACCCAACCAAACUCCGAAUACCCGAAAGCAAUAUGCGGGAGUCACACGGCGGGUGCUAACGUCCGUCGUGGAGAGGGAAACAACCCGGACCUACAGCUAAGGCCCCUAAUUCGUGGCUAAGUGGGAAAGGAUGUGGAAAUCCCAAAACAACCAGGAGGUUGGCUUAGAAGCAGCC